CUGCCCUCCGCGGGGGACAACAGUCCGAAAGGACUGCUAAUACCGCAUCCGUCAGUAGGCUCCUCGGAGCUUAUUGGGAAAGGUGGCCUCUUCAUGAAAGCUACCACCGGAGGAUGAGUCCGCGGCCCAUCAGCUAGUUGGCGGGGUAAUGGCCCACCAAGGCUAAGACGGGUAGCUGGUCUGAGAGGAUGAUCAGCCACACUGGGACUGAGACACGGCCCAG
rnacentral:rRNA from 1 species